rnacentral:lncRNA from 1 species
AUGGUGCAGCUUUGGCCGCGGCCCUGCUGGGGUCAGAGGACGGGGGCUGCGGGAAUGGGAGCAGCCCUGCCUGCGGGGCCACCGCCCGGGUGCAGGGGGACUGCUCUCCGGAGGGAUCUGUGCAGCUCACGAGACCAGACUUGUCCUCGGCGCUCUCCCCCGAGAGGCUGUGCCAUUGCUCCUUCGGCUCUUUGGCUGGGUGCCCGACUCCAGAAGAAAAGAAGAAAAAGGACAAAACAUCCGCCCUGCCCCGCCGGGGCGAAUCGUUGUCUGUCACCAUGGGAACUCCUCCCCUGCGCGGACCCAUCCGAGAUGACUUCACAUCUCCGCGAGCAGGAGGCUGCGUCACCGGCAUGGCACGGGGCCACCGGCCACGCGGCUCACGCAAGGACCUCCGCGGCCAGCUCCGUCACCCUCCUGCGGAGGACACGGACAAGGUCUGCACCCGAGCAGGUCGACCCCAGAGGAACAACCCAGGGCUGUCAGAGCUCCAGCUGGUUGCAGAAAGCUUUCCUCCAGCACCUCGGCGUCCCUCCUCCUGUCCAUCCUGCGCCCUGGAUCCCCACCAGCUUCAGGAGCCACCAGCCCGGGACCCUCAGCCCCCCCCCGUCCUCCUCGGCAAACCAAGCCAAGUUCACCUGGGAGCCACAGCCGCGCGUGCGGGGCGGUGACAGGAGGUAUUUGUGUUCCCAUGUCACGGGGGCUCCGGCCAAGCGCGGCACAUCUGGAAGGUCUGUAAACAGGGGAAGCAGGAGAGCCGCAGCGGAGCGCAGCUGGGCACAGAGGGACCUUCAGCCUCGCGGCAGCCGGCGCAGGGACAGGGGGUGGAAGUGCAGAGCUGCCACGUGGAGCCCAGGCGCAGGACACGCACGGGGCUGGAGCACGCCUCCUCUUCCUGGAAGUCUCCUCGGCACGCCAAGGUGCUCCUCCAUGCCAGGCGAGCCGAGGCAGCAGCUCUCUGUGGGGACACAGCUGCUGGGCUCUGCCUGCCGCUCCAGUUCCCCGAGUCGCUGCUGCCUGUCCCUGGCCACUUCCCUGCCCCACGGCACAGCCAGCUUUCCUGCUCCGUCCCUGCUGCCCUCCCAGUGCCAGCCCUCGUUCAGGCUGGGCCUUUGCUUCCCCCAGCCUCCCCCGAGGAGGCCCGGCAGUACUUCCCCUGUCCAUGGGGAAUCAUUGUCUCACAGCUCCUUGUACCUGGAAACUUGUUCCAGCCCUGAUGGGUAA